rnacentral:rRNA from 1 species
UACGGAGGGUGCAAGCGUUAUCCGGAUUUACUGGGUUUAAAGGGUGCGUAGGCGGCUUUUUAAGUCAGUGGUGAAAGCCUAGUGCUUAACACUAGAAUGGCCAUUGAUACUGGAAAGCUUGAGUCAAGGAGAGGUAAGUAGAAUUUAUAGUGUAGCAGUGAAAUGCUUAGAUACUAUAAGGAAUACCAAUAGCGAAGGCAGCUUACUGGCCUUGCACUGACGCUGAGGCACGAAAGCGUGGGGAGCAAACAGG